UACAGAGGGUGCAAGCGUUGUUCGGAAUUAUUGGGCGUAAAGCGCGUGUAGGCGGCAUGGCAAGUCGGGGGUGAAAGCCCUCAGCUUAACUGAGGAAGUGCGCCCGAAACUGCCGUGCUUGAGUGCCGGAGAGGGUGGCGGAAUUCCCCAAGUAGAGGUGAAAUUCGUAGAUAUGGGGAGGAACACCGGUGGCGAAGGCAGCCGCCUGGACGGUAACUGACGCUGAGACGCGAAAGCGUGGGGAGCAAACAGG
rnacentral:rRNA from 1 species